AGUGAACGCUGGCGGUAGGCCUAACACAUGCAAGUCGAACGGCAGCACAGUAAGAGCUUGCUCUUACGGGUGGCGAGUGGCGGACGGGUGAGGAAUACAUCGGAAUCUACUUUUUCGUGGGGGAUAACGUAGGGAAACUUACGCUAAUACCGCAUACGACCUACGGGUGAAAGCAGGGGAUCUUCGGACCUUGCGCGAUUGAAUGAGCCGAUGUCGGAUUAGCUAGUUGGCGGGGUAAAGGCCCACCAAGGCGACGAUCCGUAGCUGGUCUGAGAGGAUGACCAGCACCACUGGAACUGAGACCCGGUCCAGACCCCUACGGGAGGCAGCAGUGGGGAAUAUUGGACAAUGGGCGCAAGCCUGAUCCAGCCAUACCGCGUGGGUGAAGAAGGCCUUCGGGUUGUAAAGCCCUUUUGUUGGGAAAGAAAAGCAGCAGGUUAAUACCCCGCUGUUCUGACGGUACCCAAAGAAUAAGCACCGGCUAACUUCGU
rnacentral:rRNA from 1 species